CUCACGCAGCCCCUGUACAGCAGCAGCAGGUCAGGACAGGCACUUCUGGCUGUGAGAUCUGAGAUGAUGACAAGCUCCUUGUCUUGUGGGAUGAGGGAAGGAGAGAGUUUGACAGCAGGGAGCACAGGUCCCUUGUCAAUGAAGACAAUGAGACCAUUCUGCAUUAACAUCUCGCUGCACUGACACAGCGGAAGCUGGGCCCACAAGCUGUGUUCGUUGGAUUGUUGGACAGCUCCAAGCAAAGGAAGCAGAAGCAGUGAGAUUCUUGCUGAUUUGGGUGUCCAAAGCCCUUAGGACUGGAGGCUUUGAAAAUCUCAUUUUGCCACAUUGGACAUAGAAGACUGACAAACCACCAAUGGAUCACCACUGAG